CUACAUCACAUCCUAGUUUUUAUCCUCAAAAGCAUCUUCAGAUGUCCAAUAGAUGGAAGGUUCCACCACUUCCUGAGUGACCUGCGGAUCUGUUUAUUGGUAUACUUUCCGCAGGCAAUCAUUUCGCUGAGCGAAUGGCUGUGAGGAAGUCUUGGAAGCAGCAUAAGUUUGUUAAAUCUUCAAAUGUAGUUGCUUGUUUCUUUGUGGUGAUGAAUGCAAGAAAGGAAGUGAACGUAGAACUGAAGAGAGAAGCAGAAUUUUUCGGAGAUAUCAUCAUCGUGCCAUAUAUGGACAACUACGACCUUGUCGUGUUAAAAACUGUUGCAAUCUGUGAAUAUGGGGCUCGUGUAGUGGCUGCCAAGUAUAUAAUGAAGUGCGGUGAUGACGCGCAUUCGUGAGAGUAGAGGCAUUUCUUAAUGAAGCAAAGAGAGCACAUCAUGAUCGCAGUUUGUAUAUUGGAAACAUCAACCAUUACCACAAGCCCUUGGUAAAUGGGCAGUAACUUAUGAGGAGUGGGCGGAGGAAGCUUAUCCGCCGUAUGCGAACGGGCCAGGCUACAUAUUGUCAUCUGACAUUGCUCACUUCAUCGUCUCUGAAUUUGAAAAGCACAAUUUAAGAUUGUUCAAGAUGGAAGAUGCGAGUAUGGGGAUGUGGGUGGAGAAAUUCAACAGCA